rnacentral:rRNA from 1 species
GACGAACGCUGGCGGCGUGCUUAACACAUGCAAGUCGAACGGAAAGGCCCUGCUUUUGUGGGGUGCUCGAGUGGCGAACGGGUGAGUAACACGUGAGUCACCUUCCCUUUACUUUGGGAUAACUUCAGGAAACUGGGGCUAAUACCGGCUAGGAGCUCCUGCUGCAUGGUGGGGGUUGGAAAGUUUCGGCGGUUGGGGAUGGACUGGCGGCUUAUCAGCUUGUUGGUGGGGUAGUGGCUUACCAAGGCUUUGACGGGUGGCCGGCCUGAGAGGGUGACCGGCCACAUUGGGACUGAGAGACGGCCCAGACUCCUACGGGAGGCAGCAGUGGGGAAUAUUGCACAAUGGGCGGAAGCCUGAUGCAGCAACGCCGCGUGCGGGAUGAAGGCCUUCGGGUUGUAAACCGCUUUCGCCUGUGACGAAGCGUGAGUGACGGUAAUGGGUAAAGAAGCACCGGCUAACUACGUG